GGGGACACCAAUUUGCCACUGAAACGCAAACGCAAAGGGAUAUGUGAACAACUUUGGAAAGCAGCCUUAUCUGUCUCCCAUCUAUACAUAUCAAAGUCAGAGUAUGUUGCAUGUACGUACAUUGGUUCGUACCACAAAGGCUCUGGUGUGGCCUGACAGAUCCGGACCAAACCUGGCACAAAGACCCUCCAUGUUCCAACUUAAAAAGUAAGGCAAGGGAAAGGAAAGGAAAGGAAAGGAAGAAAGAAGAGGUGAAGAAAGAAAGGGGAGAAAGGAAAAAGGAAGGAAGGAAGGAAAGAAGGAAGGAAGGGGAAGGUAGGAAGGGAUGGAGGAAAGGGGAAGGAAGGA